UAAUUUUGUGUAAAAAAAAACUUCCUCAAAUUUCUCUCUAAAACGGCGCUGCAAUCUCUAGCCAUGAAUCUCCACCACCUCUCCAUUCAUGUUGGUUGCUAUAUGUUGUAGUGAUCUGAGGUCAAAGCGUUGUUAUUUGAAGAUGAUAUCAGAAAAGCAUCUCCUUUGGAUAACGGCGGCGAGUCCACCUCCAUCCUCACCAUCUUCGUCUCCUGCCACCUCACAGAUCUCAACAAACCAUCACCGUCAUCUCUAUCUUCUCCAUUGACAACAAACAUGGCUUCUCUCUAUCCACAACAAAACGACAGACUUUGUCUUAACAGGGCCAAACAUAAUAAAUAAGCCCAUUAACAAAUACAGAACCCAAUACACCUGGCCCAUCUCACCACUACCACGUGAAUCCUACUCCAAUAAGUAAAUAAUUAGGCUUUUUAUUUGCUCUUUGAACUUUCUUUGUGUAAUAAUUAUCAAUUGUUUGUAUAUAAUGGUCAUCAAUUGUAAUAAUCAUCAACUAUAGUAGUCUUGUAAUUGUCAACUGUAAUUUUUAUGUGUAUUUAUGAUGCUAUUUUGUGUA